CACUCAAGGGCCAAAGAACUAGUAAAUCCUAAGAGAGAAUUAGGAUUAGCAAACUAGAAGAAC
rnacentral:sRNA from 1 species